UAUAGGCAUCAAGGUAAACUAACCUACGACACGGUCCUUAUAAUCUACAAGAUGGUGAUAUUAUAGGCAUUGAGGUAAACUAACCUACGACACGGUCCUUAUAAUCUACAAGAUGGUGAUAUUAUAGGCAUUAAGAUAAACUGAA